AAAAGUCCAUGAAAAACACAUCUUCGCCAAAACCCUCCUUCACGCUGCCCUCACUAGCCUCCUCCGCCACUCCUCCGGAAGGAGCUCGAACGCUGCUCAAGAGAGCCACUCAGGCACAGCUUCAAGGAAUUCAUAUCCAUUUGGAGCGAUCGCGAAGAGGAGGGUGGGAAUGGGAUGAAGCUUGAAGCAGAUUGCAAGGAUAAGACACAUUAGAUGAGCUUCACCCAACUCUGGAGCCCUAAUUCUACCACCAACGACAAGGUCGACGAUGAUGGCAAAAGCAUUGCGGAUGAGAGGAGAAGGAGAUCGAUUGCUCAGAGUCGAAAGCAACCAUUUUGCGGCCGGAUUCUUUCCGUUUAAGAGCUCAAAGGAGGUGUCGAAGCCCUCAAUGACACCAUGUGAUCUCUCUCUUCUAUCGCUCCUGCCAUCAAGGUGUUGCCUUCCCCAUCUCUUCGACGGCCGACGAACACUUUGACAGUGGCUCCGGCACCAAGCACUCCUACAGCGCCAAACCAGCAUCUGACGACGCACACCUUAGCUUGCAAUUGCAGCAUCCUCCGAGGAAGACGAGGUGGUGUUGGGCAUCAAAACUGCAUCGCCACAUCAAGAUCACAGAAUCAAGGAGUAUAAAUAAUGGUUGUCUAGGUUCAUUUACCUGACCAAGAUGGAGUUUGAGAAUUUCUUGUCGGAACCACAUUCUAUUUGAUAUACUAGAGGGAUUUUGAUCCGACCAGAUAAUUGUGAAGAACCUUUAUGGCCUAAUAGGGAUGGCAAACUGAGUUCAUUUCAUUAGGGGAUGAUCAAUCUUAUUGAAGUUGGUGCUUUUGGCUUAUCUCUGAUUCCAUUUUAUUGCUGAGAAUGUAUCAUUAGAGGAUCACUUUAUCCAUCUCAAUAUAUCUUUGUAUUUUAUGGUUCAUUCUUUUGCAAGAGACUUUGCACAUGCACCAUGAAAAAAUUGAUGAUCUAGAGGCUUCCUUGAUUGGGUACGAGGCAAAAGAAACUAGUGAUGAAACUGAAGAAACUAUGGUACGUGGAAGCUAAGCAAAGCUUGAUUAGGAAUUGGCAGAUUUCUGCAAUCAUUGUUUAUUGUGUCUUUGCUCUUCAAGACAUGACAUACUCUGAGAUUUUCUUUUUAUGGGCUGUGAGCAACAAAAGAUUUGGUGGUUUGAACUUUUCAUCUAAAGAUGUUGGUUGAAGUGCUUGCAAUCUCAGGUAAAUAUGUCUGUGCAUCUAGAACUCUAGAAGGCAUUCUAA